GUCUACGGCCAUACCACCCUGAAUGCGCCCGAAAUCGUCUGAUCUCAGAAGCUAAGCAGGGUCGGGCCUGUUUAGUACUUGGAUGGGAAACUUUAAGGAUGAAUUCCAACACAGGGCAGUUAAGA
rnacentral:rRNA from 1 species